AGAGUUUGAUCAUGGCUCAGAUUGAACGCUGGCGGUAUGCUUAACACAUGCAAGUCGAACGGAAACGAUACUAGCUUGCUAGUAGGCGUCGAGUGGCGGACGGGUGAGUAACGCGUAGGAAUCUACCAGAUAGUGGGGGAUAGCCCGGAGAAAUUCGGAUUAAUACCGCAUAAUCUCUACGGAGUAAAGGAGGCCUCUAAUUUUAUGCUUUCGCUAUCUGAUGAGCCUGCGUAAGAUUAGCUAGUUGGUGAGGUAAAAGCUCACCAAGGCGACGAUCUUUAGCUGGUCUGAGAGGAUGAUCAGCCACACUGGGACUGAGACACGGCCCAGACUCCUACGGGAGGCAGCAGUGGGGAAUAUUGGACAAUGGGGGCAACCCUGAUCCAGCAAUACCGCGUGUGUGAAGAAGGCCUGAGGGUUAUAAASCACUUUCAAUUGUGAAGAAAAGUUAAUAGUUAAUAACUAUUAGCCUUGACGUUAACUUUAGAAG
rnacentral:rRNA from 1 species